CCUUAAUAACCUUGCUUUUAAUUAUCACAAACUUUAAAAAUUUCCAAACCACCAACAAAUGAACUGUGCUUGUGAUGUAAUGAACAACAUAGCACGAUUAUACCUUGUAAAUUAGUAAUUGUACUGAAAAUUAAACUUAUAUCUAACCAAAGAUGAGAACAUAGAAAAGUCAAUGCAGAUGAUGAAUGCAAGAGAGUUAUGUUCAAUGGUACUUCAGGAAAUAUUGGGAAAAUUGCAUAAGGCAAGCAGCAUACUUGAGUGCGCCAGAUAUGCUUGUCCAUUUCAAUUUAUAAUAAAUCAUUUGCCAGGAAAUUCUCACAAAUCCAUUUAAAGUUUUGAAAUAUACCAAUAAUGAGGAUGUCAACAAUAAGUCCAAAAGAUGGAAGUUCAAAACUUAGUAACCAGAAAACCAUCACUACCUUGUUCGAAACCAUUAACAUUGGGAUUGAUGUAACGUUAAGUUCUUAAAGAACUUUGUCCACACCCUCAAUCUGUUGUUCUGCCAGCAAAUGGCAGAAUGACAUAGAAAUAUACUAUAAUAAGUUGAAACGGGAUUGUUAUUCCAUACAUCCAUUGCAAAUGACAUAUCAAUUUGCCCAGCAAAUCAAACCACCAGACAACAAGACACAACUCAAAUAGAACAUAUCCAUAAGUUUUGAAUUGUUUCAGUCAACUCCACAGCCUCCCUUCUACUUCAUUAUCAAGCAAAUAGCAUGGAGACCCCAUACACUUGUAAUGUCACUUGGAAGCAGUAGCAACCAGGCAAAUGGCAAUGUCCCCAAAAUUGUAACCCAAGACCUCAGCGUUAUGAGAUAGUUAAGUAGAAUCCUGGUACCAAUUAUCCCUAAUUUUAGAUUAUAGCUGAUUAGCUGGUGACUAUCAUGAGCACUAGAAUGAUAUGGACUCCAAGGCAUAUCCUUCUAUAGGAAAUUUACAUUACAUAUUUCUUUCUUAUUUGAAGGAGUUCCAACAAAAAAUUUCUAUACGGAUUCGAUAUGUACUAUAAUACACCUAGAUCAGGUCACGUUCUGUCUUUUAAAUCAUAAUAGAAAGACAAUUAAAAAAAUUUCCAUAAAAGCAAAUAUAUCAUUUUUCUACAAUCUUCAGUUUCCUUUCUUCAAUUUUUAGUUUAUUGCAAGAAGUAAUCUCAUUAAAUAUAUAACUUUACAAGGCUCUUAGAGCAUAUACAAGAGACUAUUUAUAAAGAGC
rnacentral:lncRNA from 1 species